GGAACACACACAGAAGCCAAGGGAGGAAAUUCACAGACCACCCCCUCCUCAAAUUACAGUGCACACAGGUCACAUGUCAGAGGUUGAGUUAAUGGAUCCAGCAGAGUGGCUAGCUGGGGAGGCCUUCCUGGAGGAGGAAUGCAGGUGUAUGUCACCAUACCCAGACUUUACCUGAGCUUGCAGAGGAGUGACUGAGCUCGCUCCAAGAGCGCUCCUUUGUUCUGCUUAAGCAUAUGCGUCUGUCCUCUGGCUCCUGGCCAGCCUUCCCGCUAGAUCUCUUCCAGGUGGAGAGAGAAUGGGGGCCUUUACCUGUGGCACAGAAGGCUAUGUGAAGGUCAUCAUCCUGUGUUGGUGGCAGACUGAGACCUCUGGUGAUGGGGGGCAGACACCCACUAUUGGAGUUGCUCUUAUUCCCUCUCAUCUGUGUGACUAAAGUGUGAUUCCAUCUG
rnacentral:lncRNA from 1 species